rnacentral:rRNA from 1 species
AUGAAACUGCUCCAUUGUUCGGAGUGUCUUUAUCUUGCAUUGCCAUCCUAUACCUCUUCUUAUGCAUCCUUGUUGUAUUCCUCUGUUUAUAUCUUCCGCUUCGUUCUAGCUGCAGCUUGUAAUGUACUAAAAGGAAAACGUAUCGCACUUGUGUUGGUGCUAUUUCUUAUGCUGCUAUGGUGUCAAGUUCAUUUGGUUGCUGUCACUGUUCAUGGACUACAUACAGUCCACCUGCAGUUUGAAAUUCAUGCAAAUCCAGAAUGCUGGUUUAUCUUUUGGUAUUUCUGGUUUAACAAGUGCCAGCACACAGGCUAG